rnacentral:rRNA from 1 species
AUUGAACGCUGGCGGCAUGCCUUACACAUGCAAGUCGAACGGUAACAGGUCUUCGGAUGCUGACGAGUGGCGAACGGGUGAGUAAUACAUCGGAACGUGCCUAGUAGUGGGGAUAACUACUCGAAAGAGUGGCUAAUACCGCAUGAGAUCUACGGAUAAAAGCAGGGGAUCGCAAGACCUUGUGCUACUAGAGCGGCCGAUGGCAGAUUAGGUAGUUGGUGGGAUAAAAGCUUACCAAGCCGACGAUCUGUAGCUGGUCUGAGAGGACGAUCAGCCACACUGGGACUGAGACACGGCCCAGACUCCUACGGGAGGCAGCAGUGGGGAAUUUUGGACAAUGGGCGCAAGCCUGAUCCAGCAAUGCCGCGUGCAGGAUGAAGGCCUUCGGGUUGUAAACUGCUUUUGUACGGAACGAAAAGCCCUGGGUUAAUACCCUGGGGUCAUGACGGUACCGUAAGAAUAAGCACCGGCUAACUACGUGCCAGCCGCCGCGGUAAGAC